rnacentral:rRNA from 1 species
UACGGGGGGGGGCAAGCGUUGUUCGGAAUUACUGGGCGUAAAGGGCUCGUAGGCGGCCAACUAAGUCGGAUGUGAAAUCCCCCAGGCUCAACUUGGGAACUGCAUCCGAUACUGGAUGGCUUGAAUUCGGGAGAGGGAUGCAGAAUUCCAGGUGUAGCGGUGAAAUGCGUAGAUAUCUGGAGGAAUACCGGUGGCGAAGGCAGCUCGCUGGGACGGUAUUGACGCUAAGGCGCGAAAAGCGUGGGGGAGCAAACAGG